GCGUUGUUCGGAUUUACUGGGCGUAAAGGGCGCGUAGGCGGCGUAACAAGUCACUUGUGAAAUCUCCGGGCUUAACUCGGAGCGGCCAAGUGAUACUGUUGUGCUAGAGUGCGGAAGGGGCUACUGGAAUUCUCGGUGUAGCGGUGAAAUGCGUAGAUAUCGAGAGGAACACCUGCGGCGAAGGCGGGUAGCUGGGCCGACACUGACGCUGAGGCGCGAAAGCCAG
rnacentral:rRNA from 1 species